rnacentral:lncRNA from 1 species
GUUUCCAAGCACUGCUGUAUAUAUUCAAAAUUGAUGAAGUUACAUCAAGGGUAGCUUCUCACAUGAUUAAGGAUGUAGUGCUGGUAGAUUUUUAACCAAUUUUGGAAGUAAUUCAGCAUCUAACCAAUUUUGUAGUCAUAAAAACCUCACCUGAUAUAGCAUCUUUAUAAAAGAUUGCAUUCUAUCAACCAGUAGUUAUAAUUUAAUUCAGAUAAAUCCUCUUGUGAAUGAUUAACAUACAUAACAUGGUAUUAAAAGUUGUAGAAAAUGGUAAUGUUAUUAUAUAAGUGCUUUAUUUGUGUACUUAAAUACUGUUUGAUGACAGUAGGGACAUUAUAGGUAACAGCUAUGUGAAAACAUACAAGAUAUAUGACAAAAAUUUCGUUAUUUCCAUUAGUCAACUCAUCAAGCAUUCUUUGAUUCAAGCACUGUAUCAAAGAGUUCAAGAAUUCAUGAGACUAGUAAUUAUAGAAUUGAUAGUAAAUUCAUUGAAAUGAUUGCGUCUAAUUUUUUUAUUUUCGAUUUCAAAAGUGAAACUAAAUUAGACAUUAGUAAAAGUCUUGCCUAACCAUAAAGAGGUUUAUGGUGAUGUGUGGCAUCUUCUAGUAACAUUUAGUUUCUGGGUUGAUGUUGCAAACAAUGAGUGAGUCAUUAUAUUAAUUUCUUAUAGAAAAUAGUUUCCCCGGACCACUUAUUUUUCCCAUAACCAAAACAAAAUGACAGCCAAGAAUUUUAGGAAUUUACAGAAAUUUAAAAAUUCCACAAACCUUAACUGGCAAUGUUUCCUGUAGAUGCAUGCUUAUAUUUGCCAAGAUGUAGUGUGUAUGAACCUAUUACGGUUAUUGCAGUUCUCAUUUUUUGCCAAGAUGCAGUGUAAAAGAACCUAUAAUAGUUGUAAGUUUUUUCUUUGUUGUAGUUUGAGUGAUAAGUUGUUGUUUAUUUUUUUAUAAAUCAGUAUUUUUACCAUCUUGUUAUUUGUACAUAAUACAUGUAAUAUAUAUUUAGCACAUAUAAAACUAUUUAUUCUAUUAUGUACAUAAAUGUAUAGAAAUUUUAUUUAUAAACAUUGUAUAGAUACAAAUUGUAAAUUUUUAUGAAGGAAGAAAAACCAAGAACAUGCACCUUUAGUAGUAGUACAUAGAUGUUAAACCAGUUUGUGUCAUAACACUUAACUUUGUUCAGUAUUUAGUAACUAUAAACACAAAUGUUAGCCAGGAGAAAUGUGACUAAAAUUAUAUCUGUAAAAUUUCGAAAAAUGAUAAUUGUCUGGACUUAAUUUUGUUAUCACUCAAAACCUGUUGUUUAUGAAAAAUUCCCCAAGAUGUAUCUAUAGAAAUAUGUCCAACAAUCUUCUUACUGCCCUUAAAUUUCAGUCCAACAUCAUAUAUACAUCCAUCAUUUGUUUUAUUCAUACAGGCCAAUUUUAUAAUGUCAUCAAAUGUACUUCCUUGGUGCUGAUCAAAUUAAACCAAGUAGCUUCAAGAAGACUACUACACAUAUUGCCUAUUGUAUGUAAUAGUCAUAUAAAGCUCUUUGUAUGUAAAGUCAGCAUGAAAAACUAUGGAUGCACCUCAUUUCCAAAUUCAAGGUCGGCUAUAUAUAAGAGAGGAUUUCAUUGGUGUAUAUAUUGACUGCAUAAGAGUCUACAUUUUAAUUUUUUUUUCUAAAGAACUGUGAAGGCCUUCAAAGUUAAUAGAAAUAUGUUUCAACUUUCAGACAAUGUGUUGUGGUCACUGUACUAACUGGUCAAACCAAAUUAAUUUGUAGACUUUAUUUCAACUGUGCCAUUUGAUGUUAUACGGUUAUAACAUACUGAUAAAUUAGAAUGUAGAUAAUAUAGACAGAUUUAAUAGGGAAAUAGGGAAAUCUCUUACAAACCUGCCAUUAAUUAUUAAACCUCUUUGUUGUAUAGUGAUAGAGAUCUAUCAGAUGAAUUCUUAUAAAGUAGAUUGUAAAGGAUUUCAAUAUUCAACAUGUUCCUCAUCUAAAUUUUAUACUUCUAUUGAAAUAUAUAAAGACAGUUAUCUCAUCAUUGCAAAUUGCCAUUUGAAUUUACUUUUGUGGAAUUCUUCAAAGACAAUAUAUGUUAGUUGUAUUAGAUUUCAUUAUCAUUGUUAACAAUAAACAAAAGCUUUCUCUCAGAAUAAUGAAAAUAAUAGGUAUCAAUCUAAGCUUCUGAAUAAUUUGCUAGAUUUUCUGUUGUAAUUGAUUUUUUUCGAUGAAUGAUCAGUGCAAAGGUCAUGUUAAAUGAAUACUAGAUUCUCACCUAGGGGCUUCAUAAAGAAUUUGAACACAAAUAGUUGCACAUUGUGGGGAAUUGAUAUGUUGAUUAUCAAAUGAAACAUGUGUAAUGGCAGUCUAAAAUUCUAAAUAAUAAAGAAAAUAUUUUUGUUCAUUUUAAGUUUUAUAUUAUGUUGUCAAUUCAGUCUAAGAUAAAACAUAUUGACUUCACAGGUUUUGUUGUUCAGCUUUUAGGGGGUUAUUGUGGCCAAGUGGACUAAGUACAUGUAGUUCAUCUUUUUUUCAAAAUUGCACAUGCUACUUGAACAUAAUUUUAACAUUAAUAUUAUAAACAUUGUUUCAUUUUCACAUGUAUUUAAAGAACUUUUGUUACCUUUUUUCUUUAAAUUAAUUUGUCAAGUUGAAAACAUGACAUUGAUGAUCAAAAAUUUCAAUCACAAAAGUAUUUAGAUACCUCAAGUUGGGCAUUUGUUUCUAAACUGAUUGCAAAAAAGAUCAGACGAAAAAUGUGUUUAUAAAAGUGACAAAAAUACUGUAAAUUCAAAACUGCUGUCUGCAUUUAAUAUUAAGAAUUCCAUGUUCCUCCCCAUGAAUGUGUAUGAGUGAUAUACAUAUUGAAAUUGAAGUGUUAUGUUUUAGUGUAUACUUGCUAUGAUUGUUUUUAUUUAGUUGCUCACAGAGUUAACAUUCCACAAUGUAUAACUAUAAUGUACUGCUUUGGAGAAGCAGAAUAAAAUUGGAAAAUA